GGGGGCGACCUGGUUUCGACGUGGGUUGCAAAACCAGAGGUGCAUGCCGAGAAUGAGAACUCUCGUAAAUCAGACUCAAAUAAAUAUAAAUGCAAACGAAGCAAACUAUGAUGCAGUUAACGUUGACCAAGCUAUUGCAGCCUAAUCAAUUGUAACUCAUCAACGUGUACUGGCCUUAACCCCAGUGCCCCGUUCGACCGGGCCCGCUUAUCGGCAUCGAAUCAACGGUCAUAGGAGAUAAGCUAGCAUCAAAAUCCAUCCCGGGUUUAAAUGCGAAAUUUAGGGAAUCGCUGUGUACUAUCCUGCCCGUCGGAGAGCCCACAGUUAAAUCAAAAGACAAGGCUACGCAUGUAGACCCAAAGGCAGAGGAUUUACGGACGCGGGUUCGAUUCCCGCCGCCUCCACCA
rnacentral:tmRNA from 1 species